rnacentral:lncRNA from 1 species
AUAUGGGCUAGCAUGUUAUUUACAGAACUGUUAGUGAGGCAUAUUAGUGUAUCUUCAUAGAGCUUAUUCUAUAAAGGGGAAAGUAGAAUAAAAGUGUAAAUUAAGGGCUGGAGACUUUUUUUUUUUUAAAGUAUAAAUUAUACUAAGGUACCUGAAUAAGGGUAACUAAGGGUAGGUAUCCCAUGCAAGAAACAAACAUUUGAAUGUUAAUCAGAGGAUGGAAUGGAUGAAGGUGAGGAGGAACAUUCCAGACACUGGGAGUGUAUGUUAAAGCACCAACCUGUGUUUGAAAGUACAGCCAGUAGAAGAGGGCCAGACCCUGGUGGUGGAGCCAGUUAGGAGAAGGCCAUGAAGUAAAGAUUGAAGGAGCCGAGUAUUAGUAUGGAUGAGAUUCAGUGGCCACUGAACCACUUUAGGCAUUAGUAUUUUAUAAGGGUAAUUCUGCUUAUUUUAAGAGCUGUAGAAGACAACAAUUCAAAAAGACAAACCAAUUAAGAGGCUGUUGCUGGUGAGCAAAGAGGUGGUAGCUUGGGUGAAGGUGGUAGCAGAGAAGCCAGGACUGGUAAGAACAAGGUGUGUGCAGUGCAGGCAAUACAGUUUAGUGAGAGGAGAGUGAGAGAACUGGGCAGGGUUUGAGCAUGGUUCUAAGUUGAGCAUUAGAUGUAUGAAUGUAUGUAAUACAAAAGUGAAAGAAGAACAACUCACAACAAAAUAGAACUUGGAAGCACAUUACGCCAGGGGCAGUUUGUAGGACUGGGGAUGUCAGAAAAGAAAGCUAAAAGUGGUGUUAGAGUUAAGCAGUAAAUGCCCAUUAAGAAAACACUUGGGUCCAAGCAAUAUCCUCCCUGGUCUGGGUGAAGCCCUAACCAUCCAGUUGGACCUGAUCAGUCAAUCACCUGGCUGAGAGCCCACCCCUAGAGAGAGGUUCACCUUAAGACAUGACAAAGAGAGACAGGUGGAAUGAGGUACUGUAGACCCUUCUAGAAUCCCUGCCUCUGGUGCUGUAGAAUUCAACUUCGUAAGUCUGAUUCAACUUCAUAAGCCUGCCUACUUUUCUUUCUUUCGAAGCAUUGCUUGCCUUAACACUUGGGAUUUCACCCGCAUAUGGGCAUGCUUGUCCACAAUGUGUUUGACUUCCAUACCAGCUUAAUUAUGCCAUCCUAAAUGGUAGAGUUGGUUUGGUGGGGUUUUGUUCCUGUUCUUUAACCAUUAUCCUCCAGUCUUCAGGCAGCUGCUGAGUUUUAUAGCUUGCUUGCCCUGGAUUUUUUUUUUUUCUUUUAACCUCUAAGAAGACUGUACUUGAGCCUCAUUUGAGUGCAUCCUUUAAUUGUGUUAACAAGACUGAGAACUCCAAAAGGGGACUCCAACUUCCCUUUACCACUGGUUCUAUGCUUAAGACUGCAAACCACUAAGGAAGUGGACAAGGCUCACUCUAGAGUGCCUGCUUUGUGGUCACUGAUUCAGAGGAAAACUAGUCAGGUUGUUGUAUGUGUUACAUGGCUAGAUUUUUCUCUUAUCCUCUUCUGUCUUACUGUUUGUAACUUGGAAGUGAAAUGUAUACUUUUAUUUUGCUGGACAUCAUCCUUAAUUGCCCCUAUAUCAAAAUGGUAAGUUUAAAGAUAUGGUAAAUUGCAUAUAAUUUUAAAAAUAUCUUUUGAACUAAUAAACACAUUGUGGUUUUCUUUAUAAAAAUAAUCUUCCAGCCUAAAUUUUCACUAUGUGAUCUGCAAAUUUAUUAGCUUAGUAAAAAGUAGCUUUCACCUCUUUCUUUAAAACAUAACAUUGUUAUUGAUUCUCUGCACAUUUCACAUCAUUCACAAUAAUCACACCUCCCUCCCACCCCUGUGAACCUCUGGAAAAGUAAAAAUAUUUUUUUAAUUUAAAAAGUCCAAUUUUUAUAAUCUGUACACUCACUGGAGCAUGGUCAAACUCCCAGUGGCCUGCUGCUUAAACAGGAGUGAGUCCAUCCCUCCAUGCACACACUCCAGAAGCCAUCAGCCGUCGAGAGCUACACUGCAGUGGCCUCCAUUUCUGGCUUCCUGUUUACACUGUUCGUUUUUCUGUUGGUUUGGGGACUGAGGUGGUCACAGAAGCCUUCCUUCCAUGCCCCUCCCUCUCAACUGUGUGUCUGCAGUCAUCAAUAUCACAGUCAGCUGGAACAUGGACCCUGAGCCUCCACAUGGUUUGUGGCAACAGACCAUCGACAGGGCUACAGGCUGCAGUAUGCUGCGGAUGCAGUAGGAUCCCAGACACAGAUAAGGCUCUCAGAGGCAGCUCAGACUGCAGGUAUCGCUGUGGCCCCAGCCUCAGGUGGCAGCACAGGCCACUCACACCGACCGACAUGGCCCUCAGUGACAGUGCAGCCCACAGACAUCAACGUGACUAGAGGUAGCAGAACUGACUAUGGGCAUAAACACAGACCCCAGCCACAGUAAAACCAUGGACCAAACAUGGCCCUCAGUGGCAGCACAAAUCUACUAUAGCCUUUAGUGCACACCACUCACAGCAGUAUGGUCCUGGUGGCUGCAGAGCCCACUGACAUCAGCAUGGAUUCAGGCAGAGGCACAGAGCACAAGAAUGCAGGGUUUUGUUGUUUGGUUUGGUUUUUGAGACCACUGACUUUGCAACCCUGGCUGAUCUGGAACUCAUCAUAUAGACCAGGCUAUCCUUGAACUCAAAAGGGAUUCACCUCUGCCUCCUAAUUAAAAGGCUUGCACAUCCAGGUCCUAACAUUUCAAUCAAUACAUGUAGCAUGGUCCACAAUCAAUAGCAAUCAAAAUAAUGAAGCCAGGGGCUAUCUAUGCAGCUCAGUUAGUGGUGUUUACAUUGCAUGCACUUAAAACUGGACAUGAUGACCCACUGGUAAUCCUAGCACUCAGGAGGUGCAAACAAAAGGAUCAAAAGCUCAAGGUCAUCCUUGUCUGGGUCAGACCAGCCUGAACUAUGAGACCUUCAAAACUGCUAGAACCUACAAAGGAUGAUACGUAAUGGUCAAGAAGUCAGACAAAAAAGAAAAUGUUUAAAAAAAUAUAUAGAUGCAACUCCAUUCCAGAAGUGGUUAGUUGAACAGAAAAAUGGGUGGUGGCAGUUUGUUUAUAACUCAUUGAUGGUGCUAUAUGGCUAGACAUGAGCAGACUUGAUAAAACUGGAGCAGCUUAUUAAUAAUAAACAGGCUGCAAAACAAAGACUGGAACUGCAAGAUCAAAUACUGUGUAGAAGAAUGGGACCUGAGUCCCAUCUCUGGCCCUGGGGGGUGGGGGGUGUGACUGACAUGGUGGUUUGCCUGGAAGGUUAUUAAUAUAUAAUGUAAUCAACCUGGCUACAUGUUAAAGGACAGCUGUAUAGUAGUGGGCUUUCUGAUGAAGAAUGAAAAUGUGCCAUUACUCUCACGUAAGAGCCAAACCAGACGGGCCUGUCAACCACCUAGACAAGUCAAAGACCCUCAGAAAACUGUUUUGUUUUAAAUAUGGAAUAAAUCUUACCUAAAACAUAGAUUGGUACAAUGGUCCCUUUGGCCAUCGUCCACUCUUGGUGGACUUGGUGCUCUACUUUACCCUGCAAUAAAUAAAGCUCUAUCUUCCAAUCCACUCUA